CAAAACGUAGCUUAAAUAAAGCAUCUCGCUUACACCGAGAACAUAUCUGUUUAACUCAGAUCGCUUUGA
rnacentral:tRNA from 1 species